rnacentral:rRNA from 1 species
UGAGUACGAGCUGCUACGGCAGCGAAGUGGGUGAUGUCAAGCUUCCAAGAAAAGCCCUAUACCCGUUAAGGCAUGAUGGCCUGUACCCGAAACCGACACAGGUAGGGUGGUAGAGAAUACCGAGGGGCGCGAGGUAACUCUCUCUAAGGAACUCGGCAAAAUGGCCCCGUAACUUCGGGAUAAGGGGUGCCACCGCAAGGUGGUCGCAGUGAAGAGGCCCAGGCGACUGUUUACCAAAAACACAGGUCUCUGCUAAGUCGCAAGACGAUGUAUGGGGGCUGACGCCUGCCCAGUGCCGGAAGGUUAAGGGAGCUGGUCAGCGUAAGCGAAGCUGGCGACUGAAGCCCCGGUGAACGGCGGCCGUAACAAUAACGGUCCUAAGGUAGCGAAAUUCCUUGUCGGGUAAGUUCCGACCCGCACGAAAGGCGUAACGAUCUGGGCGCUGUCUCGGAGAGAGGCUCGGCGAAAUAGAAUUGUCUGUGAAGAUGCGGACUACGUGCACCCGGACAGAAAGACCCUAUGAAGCUUUACUGUAGCUUGGUAUUGUGCCCGGGCUCGCAAUGCGCAGGAUAGGUGGGAGGCUUUGAUCAUCGGCUUGCGGGUCGAUGUGAGCCAACGGUGAGAUACCACUCUUUGCGAGCUAGGGUUCUAACGGUCACCCGUUAUCCGGGGACCGGACAGUAUCAGGUGGGCAGUUUGACUGGGGCGGUCGCCUCCUAAAAGGUAACGGAGGCGCGCAAAGGUUUGCUCAGGCUGGUUGGAAAUCAGCCGACGAGUGUAAAAGCAGAAGCAAGCUUGACUGUGAGACCUACAAGUCGAACAGGGACGAAAGUCGGCUUUAGUGAUCCGACGGUUCUGAGUGGAAGGGCCGUCGCUCAACGGAUAAAAGUUACUCUAGGAUAACAGGCUGAUCUCCCCCAAGAAUUCACAUCGACGGGGAGGUUUGGCACCUCGAUGUCGGCUCAUCGCAACCUGGGGCUGAAGUCGGUCCCAAGGGUUGGGCUGUUCGCCCAUUAAAGCGGUACGCGAGCUGGGUUCAGAACGUCGUGAGACAGUUCGGUCCAUAUCCGGUGCACGCGCAGGAACAUUGAGAGGAUUUCUCCCUGGUACGAGAGGACCGGGAGGAACGCACCUCUGGUGUACCAGUUAUCGUGCCGACGGUAAACGCUGGGUAGCCAUGUGCGGAGUGGAUAACCGCUGAAAGCAUCUAAGUGGGAAGCCCACCUCAAGAUGAGUGUUCCCAUGGCGUUAGCCAGUAAGGUCACGGGAAGAACACCCGUUGAUAGGCUCUACGUGGAAGCGCAGUAAUGCGUGAAGCGGAGGAGUACUAAUAGACCGAGGGCUUGA